rnacentral:rRNA from 1 species
CCUACGGGAGGCAGCAGGGGGAAUAUUGGACAAUGGGCGAAGGCCUGAUCCAGCCAUGCCGCGUGUGUGAAGAAGGUCUUCGGAUUGCCAAGCACUUUAGGUUGGGAGGAAGGGCAGUUACCUAAUACGUGAUUGUUUUGACGUUACCGACAGAAUAAGCACCGGCUAACUCUGUGCCAGCAGCCGCGGUAAU